rnacentral:rRNA from 1 species
GCGAURCCGCGAAUGGCUCAAUAUAUCAGUUUUGGUUCCUUAGAUCUUACUCAGUUACUUGGAUAACUGUGGCAAUUCUAGAGCUAAUACAUGCAAUCAGAGCUCCGACCAGUGAUGGGAAGAGUGCUUUUAUUAGAUCAAAACCAAUCGACGGAGGUGGCCUCGGUCGCCGAAGUCGUUUCUUUUGAUGAAUCUGGAUAACUUUUGCGGAUCGCACGGUCCAGUACCGGCGAUGCAUCUUUCAAAUGUCUGCCUUAUCAACUUUCGAUGGUAGUUUCUGCGACUACCAUGGUUGUCACGGGUAACGGGGAAUCAGGGUUCGAUUCCGGAGAGGGAGCCUGAGAAACGGCUACCACAUCCAAGGAAGGCAGCAGGCGCGCAAAUUACCCACUCGGCACGGGGAGGUAGUGACGAAAAAUAACGAUACGGGAAUCUUUCGAGGCCUCGUAAACGGAAUGAGAACACUUUAAAUAUUUUAACGAGUAUCAAUUGGAGGGCAAGUCUGGUGCCAGCAGCCGCGGUAAUUCCAGCUCCAAUAGCGUAUACUAAAAUUGUUGCGGUUAAAAAGCUCGUAGUUGCAUUUGUGCGCCGCGCUGUCGGUUCAUCGCGUCAGCGAUGAGACUGACACGUCUGCGGGGCAUAUCGUCGGUGAG